rnacentral:tRNA from 1 species
UCCGGCAUAGCUCAGUUGGUAGAGCAGGUGACUGUUAAUCACCCUGUCCCUGGUUCGAGUCCAGGUGCCGGAG